CUCUGAUGCAGCCAUGCCGCGUGUGUGAAGAAGGCCCGAGGGUUGUAAAGCACUUUCAAUUGCGAGGAAAGCUAAGUAGUUAAUACCUGCUUAGUGUGACGUUAACUUUAGAAGAAGCACCGGCUAACUCUGUGCCAGCAGCCGCGGUAAUACAGAGGGUGCAAGCGUUAUUCGGAAUUACUGGGCGUAAAGCGCGCGUAGGCGGACUGUUAAGUCGGUUGUGAAAGCCCUGGGCUCAACCUAGGAACUGCAUCCGAUACUGGCAAUCUAGAGUUUAAGAGAGGGAAGUGGAAUUCCUGGUGUAGCAGUGAAAUGCGUAGAUAUCAGGAGGAACAUCAGUGGCGAAGGCGACUUCCUGGCUUAAAACUGACGCUGAGGUGCGAAAGCUUGGGUAGCGAACGGGAUUAGAUACCCCGGUAGUCCAAGGCAUAAACGAUGUCAACUAGCUGUUGGUCUUAUUAAAAAGAUUAGUAGCGAAGCUAACGCGAUAAGUUGACCGCCUGGGGAGUACGGUCGCAAGAUUAAAACUCAAAGGAAUGUCUUUCGG
rnacentral:rRNA from 1 species